CGUACCCCCCAACUGGCAGCCUAUCUCGCUCGGUAGCCGUCCCCCACUGGUUGCAACCAUGUAGAAACGAAGGGGUGGAGUUGGGAAAGAGACGAAGAAAGUUGCAGCUUAAUACCGGUGUCCACUCAGACUCGAAUAACACGGGAAGACGGAAUGGAGCGAAUGGGGAUGGACCCAUUACGCCGCGAGUGCCUCUGCUGUACAGAAUCGGUUUCAUCGGGAAAGCCAGCCACAGUGCCCCCAGGGGCAGGAGAGAGAAAGCUUCCGACUGGGAUCUGAAGGCCUGGCAUGGUGAAGGCCUCUGUCGUUGACUGCGAGUAAUACUGAAAAGGACAACAGGACAUUCCAUUCUGUUAGGAAAGGGGUCAUCUCCAAGGGGACCCAAGGAUACCGUGUAGAUGAGAUAAGGACCACAGCUUUAUCACCGUCUUGUCAUCCCUGAAUAUGUUCCCUAGCAGAAUCCUCAGCCUGUCUAGCUAUGCCUCUCUCAACAAGUUCAAAUUUGUUUAUUCAUUCCGUCA